rnacentral:rRNA from 1 species
CGAAUCUGACAGCAGAACGACCAGAGAA